rnacentral:rRNA from 1 species
AUUGAACGCUGGCGGCAGGCCUAACACAUGCAAGUCGAACGGUAACAGGAAGAAGCUUGCUUCUUUGCUGACGAGUGGCGGACGGGUGAGCAAUGUCUGGGAAACAGCCUGAUGGAGGGGGAGAACUACUGGAAACGGUAGCUAAUACCGCAUAACGUCGCAAGACCAAAGAGGGGGACCUGGGGGCCUCUUGCCAUCGGGUGUGACCAGAUGGGAGUAGCUAGUAGGUGGGGUACCGGCUCACCGAGGAGACUAUCCCUAGCUGGUCUGAGAGGGUGACCAGCCACCCUGGAAGUGAGACACAGUCCAGACUCCUACAGGAGGCCGCAGUGGGGAAUCUUGCACAAUGGGCGCAUGCCGGAUGCAGCCAUGCCGCGUGUAUGAAGAAGGCCUUCGGGUUGUAGAGUACUUUCAGCGGGGAGGAAGGAAGUCAAGUUUAUACCUUUACUCAUUGACGUUACCCGCAGAAGAAGCACCGGCUAACUCCGUG